GGACAAACUGGGGGCACUUGGGGACGAUUGGGGGCAAUCUGGGGAAGUUGGGGGCAGUUGGGGACACAUUAGGGGCAGCUGGACGCAGGGGGGGCAGUUGGGGGGCGAUUGGGGGCAAUCUGGGGGCAGUGGGGGGCAGUUUGGGGGCAGUUGGGGACACAUUGGGGGCAGUUGGGGGCAAUUUGGGGAAGUUGGGGCAAUUUGGGGGCAAUUUGGGGAAGUUGGGGCAAUUUGGGGACACAUUGGGGGCAGUUGGGGGCAAUUUGGGGAAGUUGGGGCAAUUUGGGGGCAAUUUGGGGACACAUUGGGGGCAGUUGGGGGCAAUUUGGGGAAGUUGGGGCAAUUUGGGGACAAACUGGGGGCAGUUGUGGGCAAUUUGGGGACAAAUCUGGGGUCACCCCAUGGGGACACUUUGGGGUCACCAUGGGGUCCCUUUGGGGUCCCUUUGGGGUCACAUCGGGGUCACCUUGGGGACACAUUGGGGUCACUUUGGGGUCACAUCGGGGUCCCUUUGGGGACACUUCGGGGUCAUCAUGGGGUCACUUCGGGGUCACUUUGGGGUCCCUUUGGGGACACUUUGGGGACACCAUGGGGACACUUUAGGGUCCCUUUGGGGGUCCAUUUAGGGUCACUUUGGGGUCACCAUGAGGACACAUCGGGGUCCCUUUGGGGUCAGUUUGGGGACACUUUGGGGACACUUUGGGGUCACAUUGGGGUCACCAUGGGGUCACUUCGGGGUCACCAUGAGGACGCAUCGGGGUCCCUUUGGGGUCACAUCCGGGUCAUCAUGGGGUCAGGACGGGGUCCCUUUGGGGUCACUUUGGGGUCACAUCGGGGUGACUUUGGGGUCCCUUUUGGGGAUACUUUGGGGACACUUUGGGGUCACCAUGGGGACACUUUGGGGACACUUUGGGGUCCCUUUUGGGGUCACCAUGGGGACACUUCGGGGUCCCUUCGGGGUCACUUUGGGGUCCCUUUUGGGGUCAUCAUGGGGUCCCUUUGGGGUCACAUUGGGGUCAGGUCGGGGUCCCUUUGGGGUCAGGACGGGGUCCCUUUAGGGUCACAUCGGGGUCACUCUGGGGUCACAUCCGGGUGACUUUGGGGUCCCUUUUGGGGAUACUUUGGGGACACUUUGGGGUCACCAUGGGGACAUUUAGGAGUCACUUUGGAGUCACCAUGGGGACACUUUGGGAUCCCUUUGGGAUCACAUUGGGGUCAUCAUGGGGUCAGGUCAGGGUCCCUUUGGGGUCAGGACGGGGUCAUCAUGGGGUCACUUUGGGGUCCCUCUCGGGGUCACCAUGGGGACACUUUGGGGUCACUUUGGGGUCCCUUUUGGGGUCAUCAUGGGGUCAGGUCAGGGUCCCUUUGGGGUCACAUCGGGGUCAGGUCGGGGUCCCUUUAGGGUCACAUCGGUGUCCCUUUGGGGUCACAUUGGGGUCAGGUCGGGGUCCCUUUGGGGUCAGGUUGGGGUCAGGUUGGUGUCUCUUUGGGGUCAGGACGGGGUCCCUUUGGGGUCACAUUGGGGUCAGGUUGGGGUCCCUUUGGGGUCACAUUGGGGUCAGGUCGGGGUCCCUUUAGGGUCACAUCGGGGUCACUCUGGGGUGACUUUGGGGUGACUUUGGGG
rnacentral:lncRNA from 1 species